GUCACGAUAGCUCAAGUGGUAGAGUAGCGGCGUAUAGCCGAAGGUCGUGGGUUCGAAUCCCGCUCGUGACA
rnacentral:tRNA from 1 species